UACGUAGGCAGCGAGCGUUGUUCGGAAUUACUGGGCGUAAAGGGCGCGUAGGCGGUCUUAUAAGUCUCGUGUGAAAUCCCUCGGCUUAACUGAGGAACUGCACGGGGUACUGCAAGACUUGAGAUCGGGAGAGGGAAGCGGAAUUCCGGGUGUAGCGGUGAAAUGCGUAGAUAUCCGGAGGAACACCGGUGGCGAAGGCGGCUUCCUGGACCGAAACUGACGCUGAGGCGCGAAAGCUAGGGGAGCAAACGGG
rnacentral:rRNA from 1 species